rnacentral:tRNA from 1 species
GAACGUGGCUCAUUGGUAGAGAAUCUGCUUUGCCUGCAGAAGGUCCCAGGUUCAAUCCCCGGCAUCACCA